ACGGGAGGCAGCAGUGGGGAAUAUUGGGCAAUGGGCGAAGGCCUGACCCAGCGACGCCGCGUGAGGGAAGACGGUCUUCGGAUUGUAAACCUCUUUCAGCAGGGAAGAAGUAAGUGACGGUACCUGCAGAAGAAGUCACGGCUAACUACGUGCCAGCAGCCGCGGUAAUACGUAGGUGGCGAGCGUUAUCCGGAAUUACUGGGUGUAAAGGGUGUGUAGGCGGGGAAGCAAGUCAGGUGUGAAAAUUUUGGGCUCAACCCAGGACGUGCACUUGAAACUGUUUUUCUUGAGAGUGGGAGAGGUAAACGGAAUUCCUGGUGUAGUAGUGAAAUGCGUAGAUAUCAGGAGGAACACCGGUGGCGAAGGCGGUUUACUGGACCACAACUGACGCUGAGACACGAAAGCGUGGGGAGCAAACAGGAUUAGAUACCCUGGUA
rnacentral:rRNA from 1 species